AAGAUCCACCUGAACAGACACAUGAUAAUUCAUACAGGACAAAAACCAUUUGUCUGUUCCGAAUGUGGUCAAAAGUUUGGACGAAAGAUCCAGCUGAACACACACAUGAUACUUCAUACUGGACAGAAACCAUUUGGCUGUUCCGAAUGUGGUCAAAGAUUUGGACAGAAAAGCACUCUGAACAAACACAUACUGAUUCAUACAGGACAAAAGAGGAAACGAGGAGAAUUGAAAUGGAUGAGCGCCCUAAAUUGAUAAAAUUAAAGGAGAAUAAAAAGUUCAAAAGUAUGCUGCAGAAAGUCAACCUGGGAUUGACUAAACUGGUUCCACAAGGAACCACAUUAUCAGAAAUAAAUUGUGUAAAUUAUGGAGCGGCAUGGUACAUACAAAGUAAAUUAGUCCCCCAUUAUUCGGACAGAACAAUCAAAAUCAGGAAAAGGAAUAGCGUGCCGCGGUGGAAAAAGACAUUACAACAGAAAAUUAGUCGCCUCAGAGCAGAGAUCUCCCAGAUGUCGAUAUUUCUGGGAGGCCAAAGUCAUAAAAGGAACCUUCUUCGAAAAGUCUAUCGCAUUAAA